rnacentral:rRNA from 1 species
GGAUUAGAUACCCUGGUAGUCCACGCCGUAAACGAUGGAAGCUAGCCGUCGGGGAGCAUGCUCUUCGGUGGCGCAGUUAACGCAUUAAGCUUCCCGCCUGGGGAGUACGGUCGCAAGAUUAAAACUCAAAGGAAUUGACGGGGGCCUGCACAAGCGGUGGAGCAUGUGGUUUAAUUCGAAGCAACGCGCAGAACCUUACCAGCUCUUGACAUCCCGUGCCAUCUGGGGAGACCCAGGGUUCCCUUCGGGGACGCGGUGACAGGUGCUGCAUGGCUGUCGUCAGCUCGUGCCG